GCAGUCGAGCGGAAUUCGGGAGCUUGCUCCCGGAAGUUAGCGGCGGACGGGUGAGUAACACGUGGGCAACCUGCCCCUUAGAUCGGGAUAACAUCGAGAAAUCGGUGCUAAUACCGGAUAAUCAAUGGAACCUCAUGGUUCUAUUGUAAAAGAUGGCUCCGGCUAUCACUAAGGGAUGGGCCCGCGGCGCAUUAGCUAGUUGGUAAGGUAAUGGCUUACCAAGGCGACGAUGCGUAGCCGACCUGAGAGGGUGAUCGGCCACACUGGGACUGAGACACGGCCCAGACUCCUACGGGAGGCAGCAGUAGGGAAUCUUCCGCAAUGGACGAAAGUCUGACGGAGCAACGCCGCGUGAGUGAUGAAGGUUUUCGGAUCGUAAAGCUCUGUUGUUAGGGAAGAACAAGUGCCAUUUAAAUAAGGUGGCACCUUGACGGUACCUAACCAGAAAGCCACGGCUAACUACGUGCCAGCAGCCGCGGUAAUACGUAGGUGGCAAGCGUUGUCCGGAAUUAUUGGGCGUAAAGCGCGCGCAGGCGGUUCCUUAAGUCUGAUGUGAAAGCCCACGGCUCAACCGUGGAGGGUCAUUGGAAACUGGGGAACUUGAGUACAGAAGAGGAGAGUGGAAUUCCACGUGUAGCGGUGAAAUGCGUAGAUAUGUGGAGGAACACCAGUGGCGAAGGCGACUCUCUGGUCUGUAACUGACGCUGAGGCGCGAAAGCGUGGGGAGCAAACAGGAUUAGAUACCCUG
rnacentral:rRNA from 1 species